UCAGACAUGGUGUACUGGGAACACUGCCUCUCUUCUUGACACUCUUGGUCUAUGUGAAAGAGGCAGUCCAGGGUUCGAAUCUCUGUGUCUGAA